AGCCGGUUUACCCAUUCCACUGGACCCAGCCACCACCCACUCCUGCUGUCUGGGUGCAGCAGAAGUCUCAGGUAGCUGAGAAGUUCAUGGAAUCUUCUUAUUUGCUACACCUUUCACUACUGCUUGUGAUAUAGUGCAGGGUUGGGAUGUGCAGACAUUUCUCAAGUGCACUGUGUACCUACACAGCAUGCUGCAAUUUGGCUACUGAAGUCAAGAGAAACUGGUUUGAACAACUACUGAGUGUAACAUAGGAAGCGCAUUUCAUUUGAUAACAGGAACACAGCUUUUGUGCUAAUAAAAUGCUUUGAAAAUUAGUGUGUGGUCUUUAGUAAUUAGCAUAUACAUUUUAGUUAUCCAUUGGUUCAUAACAAACGGACUAAAUAGGUACCCCACUGAGUCAUUUAUCUAAAUGAAAAGUUUGGUUAAAUUGUAGUUGUAGGCAUUGAUCAAAGCUAAUGGGAAAAAGAGAUUAAGAUGAAAAUCAUGGGAUUAAAUUUUUAAUUAGUUUGCCCCUUGGACCGUUGCUUGGUAUGACAUGGAGAUUGAUUGGCUACUUAUGCCUGCCUGGGAAGAUAUGGCUCUGCUACCAAACCUCUGAACGUAAGAGUGUUUUGCAAAAAAACUGAAUAUUUUAUUCAGUAAUUUUUCACUUUAUUCCUGCUUAACAAGGAAUUGAAAAGGAAGGCAAGGUCUUGGAUCUCAUAGUUCUUGGUAUAGUGAUAGAUAUAAAGUAUGAGAUGGGGGCUUCAGUGGGUUCAUUAAUAAAUAUCUCAAAUUAACAUGUCUAAGUCAAAC
rnacentral:lncRNA from 1 species